rnacentral:rRNA from 1 species
GAUGAACGCUGGCGGCGUGCCUAAUACAUGCAAGUCGAGCGAACAGACGAGGAGCUUGCUCCUCUGACGUUAGCGGCGGACGGGUGAGUAACACGUGGAUAACCUACUUAUAAUACUGGGAUAACUUCGGGAAACCGGAGCUAAUACCGGAUAAUAUAUUGAACCGCAUGGUUCAAUAGUGAAAGACGGUUUUGCUGUCACUUUUAGAUGGAUCCGCGCCGCAUUAGCUAGUUGGUAAGGUAACGGCUUACCAAGGCAACGAUGCGUAGCCGACCUGAGAGGGUGAUCGGCCACACUGGAACUGAGACACGGUCCAGACUCCUACGGGAGGCAGCAGUAGGGAAUCUUCCGCAAUGGGCGAAAGCCUGACGGAGCAACGCCGCGUGAGUGAUGAAGGUCUUCGGAUCGUAAAACUCUGUUAUUAGGGAAGAACAAAUGUGUAAGUAACUAUGCACGUCUUGACGGUACCUAAUCAGAAAGCCACGGCUAACUACGUG